rnacentral:rRNA from 1 species
GGUUAAGCGACUAAGCGUACACGGUGGAUGCCCUGGCAGUCAGAGGCGAUGAAGGRCGUGCUAAUCUGCGAUAAGCGCCGGUAAGGUGAUAUGAACCGUUAUAACCGGCGAUUUCCGAAUGGGGAAACCCAGUGUGACUCGUCACACUAUCAUUAACUGAAUCCAUAGGUUAAUGAGGCGAACCGGGGGAACUGAAACAUCUAAGUACCCCGAGGAAAAGAAAUCAACCGAGAUUCCCCCAGUAGCGGCGAGCGAACGGGGAG